CGUUACCACCAGAGGAAGCACUGGCUAACUCCGUGCCAGCAGCUGCGGUAAUACGGAGAGUGCAAGCGUUGUUCGGAUUUACUGGGCGUAAAGGGCGCGUAGGCGGCCCGUUAAGUUCGGGGUGGAAUCCCACUGCUCACCAGUGGAAUGGCCUCGGAUACUGGCGGGCUUGAGCAUGUGAGAGGUCAGUGGAACUCUGGGUGGAGCGGUGAAAUGCGUAGACAUCCAGAGGAACGCCGGCGGCGAAGGCGACUGACUGGCGCAUUGCUGACGCUGAGUGCGCGAAAGCCAGGGGAGCAAACGGGAUUAGAUACCCCGGUAGUCCUAGCCGUAAA
rnacentral:rRNA from 1 species